UUUGCUUCCUGAUGGCCACUGAUGAUGAUACCUGGACAAACACAUCAGGCUGGAAAGCUACUGGCAAGCCCUCACAUUGCCUUGCAUUAAAAAGAAACAACAAAACCAACAGCAAAACAAACCCUACGGGAGAAGGAACGCCCCCAACAGAAUGUGCCACUGUAACCAAGCUACAGAAAACAAUCCAGCAGAGGCAGGAGUGGGUGGCUCUAUUUUGGCAUUAUUUCGAUCAGGAGGUUCAAGAAUCCUGCUUUUGUCUCCAGACCCUCUGUGCUGCAAUCUGUGCAAAUCUGUUACAAAACCAGUGCUAAUCACCAAAGCAGUUUACUA